rnacentral:rRNA from 1 species
UCUGGUUGAUCCCGGCGGAGGUCACUGCUAUCGGGGUUCGACUAAGCCAUGCAAGUCGAGAGGGGUAAAGCCCUCGGCGAACUGCUCAGUAACACGUGGAUAACCUGACCUAGGGUGGAGGAUAACCCCGGGAAACUGGGGAUAAUACUCCAUAGGCUACGGAAGCUGGAAUGCUCUGUAACCCAAAGCUCCGGCGCCCUAGGAUGGGUCUGCGGCCGAUUAGGUUGUUGUUGGGGUAACGGCCCAACAAGCCGAUCAUCGGUACGGGUUGUGGGAGCAAGAGCCCGGAGAUGGAUUCUGAGACAUGAAUCCAGGCCCUACGGGGCGCAGCAGGCGCGAAAACUUUACAAUGCGGGAAACCGUGAUAAGGGGACCCCGAGUGCCUGUACACGCAGGCUGUUCAGGUGUUUAAAACGCAUCUGGAGAAAGGGCCGGGCAAGACCGGUGCCAGCCGCCGCGGUAAUACCGGCGGCUCGAGUGGUGGCCACUAUUACUGGGCUUAAAGCGUCCGUAGCCGGGUCGUUAAGUCUCUUGGGAAAUCCAACGGCUCAACCGUUGGGCGUUCAAGGGAUACUGGCGAUCUAGGGACUGGGGGAGGUGAGAGGUACUCUAGGGGUAGGAGUGAAAUCCUGUAAUCCUUGGGGGACCACCUGUGGCGAAGGCGUCUCACCAGAACAGCUCCGACGGUGAGGGACGAAAGCUGGGGGAGCAAACCGGAUUAGAUACCCGGGUAGUCCCAGCUGUAAACGAUGCGCGUUAGGUGUAUCGGUGACUACGAGUUACCGAGGUGCCGAAGGGAAACCGUGAAACGUGCCGCCUGGGAAGUACGGUCGCAAGGCUGAAACUUAAAGGAAUUGGCGGGGGAGCACCACAACGGGUGGAGCCUGCGGUUUAAUUGGACUCAACGCCGGGAAGCUCACCGGGUAAGACAGCGGAGUGAUAGCCAGGCUGAAGACUUUGCUUGACCAGCUGAGAGGAGGUGCAUGGCCGUCGUCAGUUCGUACUGUGAAGCAUCCUGUUAAGUCAGGCAACGAGCGAGACCCA